UACAGAGGGUGCGAGCGUUAAUCGGAAUUACUGGGCGUAAAGCGCACGUAGGUGGCGACGUAAGUCGGGUGUGAAAGCCCCGGGCUCAACCUGGGAAUUGCAUUUGAGACUGAAUAGCUAGGGUGCGGUAGAGGGAAGCGGAAUUUCCGGUGUAGCGGUGAAAUGCGUAGAUAUCGGAAGGAACAUCAGUGGCGAAAGCGGCUUCCUGGACCAGCACCGACGUUCAGGCACGAAAGCGUGGGGAGCAAACAGG
rnacentral:rRNA from 1 species